GAGAUUGGACUAUCAAACAAGCCGUCCGCUAAUCCAUUUAAUGGUUCAUCAGAAGCUAAAUAUUUGAGCUUCUCUGUAGUUCAGCCACCAGAAACAUUUGCACCUCCAUUGCCAUUACCUCAACGUAAACUUCAAUCUCGUACUUCAUCAUUAAAAGGUUUUAAUUCACCAGGGAAUGAAGUUUACAUAAAUAAUCGCCAACCACAACAACAACAACAACAUCCAAAUUAUCAAAAAUUGCACCAAAUUCAAUUUAUCAAUACUCAACCAAAUCUAGGUACGUCUCAAUUAUCUGUAAAUCCUGCAGCUUCAACUAUUAGUGCAUCCAGUUCGUCAAUGUAUGAUCCAUUCGAUUGUGCUUUCGUCACUUCAACUCUUCAAUUAACCGAUGCCUCAAGAACCUCAAAUCUUUCACCUCGACAUGAUGAAAGCUCAAGUCCAAGGCCUGGUUUAACGGAAGGAUCUUAUUCAGCCAGUGAUCACUCAAGAAGCAACAGUAACAUUGGUGAUGAUCGAUCAUCUGAAAUUUCAAUGCAUCGAUCUGGUAAUACUUUAGAAGAAAGCAAACUUAGUCGCACAUCUUUAUCUUAUUCCUCUGAUUCUAUUCCUGCAA
rnacentral:lncRNA from 1 species